UAUGUUUUAUUAUAGGAUGUAUAAGGGUUUUUGAUGCUCUAGGAGGUAGUUUGAAUCUACCAAACAUAA
rnacentral:tRNA from 1 species